rnacentral:rRNA from 1 species
UCUCCUUUAUUUUUUUGUUGAUUAGGGGGGGGUUGGCCGCCCCCCUUUCAGGACACUUAUGAACACACCCCCAUCUUCUUCCUUUUUAUUACUUUCUUUUAUUCGUGGGUGUCUGUGGAAAGAGGAGUAGAGGCGAGAUUAUAUGGUGAAGCAGUAAAAUACAUAAAACCCAUAAAACCCCGCUGUGCGACGGCUUGCUUUCUAUAGUUUUCUGGCGCCGCACGCAGGAGGGGGGGGGGAUAAAACAGGAUUAAAUCCCCUGUUACCCCCACAUGGUAACCAAUUUUCCCUUGGGGGUUGGGCAAGACCACCCAGGUGCUUUGCAAAAACUAUUAAAUUAUCCCCCCGGGGGAGUCCGCUCGCAAAGGAUUAAAAAUAAAAAAAAUUUGAGGGGGGUCCCCACCAAAGCGGGGGAGCAUGUGUUUUUAUUUUGGAUGAUCCGGGAGGACCCCUUUCCCUGGGCUAGAAUGUGAAGGGAAGAAAUGCAAAAAAUUUGUUCCCCACCAAUGCCCUGAAACAAGGUGCUCCAUGGCUGUCUUCACCUCGGCCGUGAGGUGUUGGAUAAAUUCCCCCAACGAGCGCAACCCUUAUCCCUAGUUGCCACCGGGUAAUGCCGACCACUCUAGUGAAACCGCCCCGGAUAACGGGGAGGAAGGUGGGGAUGACGUCAAGUCCUCAUGGCCUUUAUGUCCAGGGCUACCCACGUGCUACAAUGGUCGGUACAAACCGUCGCAAAGCUGCAAAGUGGAGCUAAUCGGAAAAAGCCGGCCUCAGUUCGGAUUGGAGUCUGCAACUCGACUCCAUGAAGCUGGAAUCGCUAGUAAUCGCAGAUCAGAACGCUGCGGUGAAUACGUUCCCGGGCCUUGUACACACCGCCCGUCACAUCACGAAAGUGAGUUGUACUAGAAGUCGCCGCGCUGACCGCAAGGAAGCAACCCCCCAAGGUAUGACCCAUGAUUGGGGUGAAGUCGUAACAAGGUAACCAAGGCGAAUCUCGUAGGCGUAUGAAGACCA